GACGAGCGCUGGAGGCGUGCUUAACACAUGCAAGUCGAACGAUGAAAUGGAGCUUGCUCCAUGGAUUAGUGGCGAACGGGUGAGUAACACGUGAAUAACCUGCCCUUAAUUUUGGAAUAACCCAGGGAAACCUGGGCUAAUACCGGAUAAGUAAACCUGUGGCAUCACAUGGUUUUGGAAAGUUUUUCGAUUAAGGAUGGAUUCGCGGCCUAUCAGCUUGUUGGUGAGGUAAUGGCUCACCAAGGCGACGACGGGUAGCCGGCCUGAGAGGGUGAACGGCCACACUGGGACUGAGACACGGCCCAGACUCCUACGGGAGGCAGCAGUGGGGAAUAUUGCGCAAUGGACGAAAGUCUGACGCAGCGACGCCUCGUGAGGGACGAAGGUCUUCGGAUUGUAAACCUCUUUCAGCAGGGACGAAGCGAAAGUGACGGUACCUGCAGAAGAAGCACCGGCUAACUAUGUGCCAGCCGCCGCAGUAA
rnacentral:rRNA from 1 species